rnacentral:rRNA from 1 species
AUGGCUGCGGACGACGGCCACGCCACCACCGCCGUCGCGCCAAUGCCGCGCCCGGAGGAGGAGCGCGAGCAGCCUCCCCAUGCCGCGGACGCCCCCGUCGACCCAAUGACGGCGCCGCCGCCGCCGCCGCUGGAGGAGGAGGAGGAGCAGCAGCAGCAGCCGGGGGAGCGGCCAACCACCGCCGCGGACGCGGUCGUCGCUCCAAUGCCGCCGCCCCCGCCGCUGCCUUCGCAGCCGGAGGAGAAGCAGGAGGAGCAGCCGGUGCCCGCCGCGGCGCUGCCCCAGCCGCUCGACUCGGUAGCCGCCUUGCUGUGUGUUUAG